UGGUUCCCGGGAGCGACCGCAGGCUUGCCCACCCAGCUGCCCCACCAAGGCGCGGACAGACUGGGCGCCUACAUCCGCCUUCCCUCAUCUGGCCUCCUUCUUCCUCCCCACAUCCGGCAGGUGCUGCGACCCGCGGGUGAGCCGGGUGAUUCGAGGUCGGAGCCGACCAGCGGCCGCAGGGAGAGGCGGGCUGGCGCCUCCCCGGCGGGCGUCCCUCGGGUCGGGAUUACAGGUUACGGUUGCGAGGCUGGCAGGGCCGGAGACACUCGGCCUCGCGGCCGCCACCACCGCCACCGUGGCACUUUGGGCCGGGGGCGGGGAGGAGAGCAUUCCUAGGGGCCCGCCAGCCAAACCCGGGUCGGGCAGGCCCCGCCCCGGCCGGCCCCAAGCGGCUCACAGAAGCCUUGGCGCAGUCCAGCUCGCGGGGGGAUGGGCGAGGGUGGGGGGCAGAAAUAGCAAUCUGCAGCCGGCAAGGGGGCGGCACUUAGUCAGGCUCCGCCCACAAGACCCGGCUGCCGUCCCCGCCCGCCUGCGCGGGAUCGACUCCGCAUGCGCACUGGAGCCUCGGAAUACAGCCAGGACUCUCCCGUCGGAAUGCGCCCCUAAGUUGGGCCAAGCCCAUUCAUUCAGGGGCUCCCGAGCCACGUAGGCGCCAUCCCUGGCCAGAGGGGUUCUGAGGAGGUGGGCAAGGGCAGACACUCUCUCCCGGUCUCAAAUUCGAAAUAGGGACUAGAAGGGAACUUCACGCGAGGCCUCGCAACUGUCGCGAGAAUCAGAACAGGAAAUCUAGGAACCGAGAACACUAAGAGCCCGCGGAUUUUAAACAGGAAAAAGAAAGGGCGGAGCAAACUCUGGCGGAUAGUUGUGAGUAAUCCCUGGUCCUUGGAAUAAGUGUCGACCUGAGACAGAAGGGGAACUGUCAGAGAGCUGCCGGAGACCCUGAAAAAGGCCAGAGACGGGGACUUGUGGGGCUGACGAAUGGAAUCACCCAAGGAGAGGUCUCUGACUCUAACAAAACACCUUGGGGACGGAGCUCCUUGGCUGGGAUACAGAGCAGACAAGUCCGGGAUCUUUUAGUGAAUUGCUGCCGGCUUCUAAGGCCUGGAGCAGAUAUUCAACAACAAACUCCACGGACCUAGAAACUCUCCACUUAUCCUACUAUUGUAGACGGUGGCUUACUUUUAGUCUUCCCUAUGCUCUAAGCUUCUGGUAGUAGGAAUCGUGCCUAACUCACUACUGUAUCUUGUGAACCUAGCCCCGCGCCUGGUGGCACGUCAAAUUCUCGGUAAAUAUUUGUGGAUUAAAUGUGAAAGACUGCCUGAGUGUUUAACCUGGAUUUUCUGAGUCGCUGAUGGAGAACAGUAGGUAGACGGGGAACCAGCGCCCUCUGGUGGGCUUGUGGUUCGUGACGAGAACAUGCUGGAACCGUGCAUCCAGAGACAAAGUCUUACUAUGUUAUCCAGGCUGGUGUGGAACUCCUGACCUCAAGCAGUCCUCCCACCUCAGCCUCCCAAAUUGCUGGGAUUAUAGAUGUGAACCACUGUGCCUGGCCAAUAACCACCUUUAACUCUAUACUUUAAGUUUACCUGGUUUUGACAUUUAUAGAAAUUGGGACAUGCCUAGGAUUGGAAUUACUGCUUCAUGUGAUAUGCAUAUUCAACAUUAGUAGAUUUUCUUUUCCUUCCUUCCUUCUUUCCUUCCUUCCUUCCUCCUUUCCUUCCUUCCUUUCCUUCCUUCCUUCCUUCCUUUUCUUUCUUUCCUUUUCUUUUCUUUCUUUCCUUCUUUUCUUUCUUUUUUUUUCUUUUCUUUCUCACAGGGUCUCACUCUAUCUGGGCUAGUCCCAAACUCCUCGGCUUAAGCAAUCCUCCCACCUCAGCCUCCCAAAAUGCUGGGAUUAUCAACAUUAGUAGAUAUUACCAUACACUUUUUCCAGUGUGAUGUAUGAAUUUAUAUAGUCUUCAGCAGUUGAUGAGUUUUCAUUAUGCCACAUCCUUGCCAAGAGUUGGUAUUGUUGUUGUUCUUUUAAAUUUUAGCCAUUAGGUAAAAAUUUUAGAGCCUAAAAUUUUUAAAUGGCCAGUUCUGCAAGGAUUUCCUCUCUUGGAUAUUUUUUUAAAAACCUUUUAUUUUGAAUUUUAGACUUGGAUAGAAGUUGUGAAAAUAGCAAAGAAAUUUCCCAUGUACCUGUCACCUAGCCUACCCUGGUGAUAACAUAAUAUCUUAUAUAACCAUGAUAUAAUUAUCAAAACCAGGAAAUUGAAAUUUAUACAGUACUAUUAGCUAAACAAUGGACCUUAUUUGGAUAUCACUGGUUUGAUAUUACGUGUGUGUGUAUAAUUGAAAUUUUAUUGCAUGUGUAGAGUUGUGUGACCAUGAGGUGAGUAAAUGGGUCUUCAGGGGUAUGACAGGGUAAAACUGAUGCCAAGGGAAAAGCUAGUAGACUCUAUAGUACUAAACACAAUGUCAUUUAAUAUAUGAGUAGCUUUAAAAUUAUUAUAUCAAAAGUCAGUGAUAGGAAAGGCAGCUAGUUACGGUAGCUAAACACACACAGCUGGGUGCGGUGACACAUGCCUAUAGUCCCAGCUACUCAGGAGGCUGAGGCAGGAGGAUCACUUGAGUCCAGGAGUUCAAGUCCAGCCUGAGUGAAAUAGCAAGACCCCGUCUCUAUAAAAACAACAAAAACCCACUCUCACACAUUUGCACACUGUGCGUCUACCUGUUGGGGGAGCUGUGCACAUGGGUAAAGUCCCAGGGUCACUGGUUGAAGUUCACUUUGCAUUAUGACACACUCAGAAGGAAAGAUAAGUUUCUGCCCUUACAUCCAAUUUUACUUGAAGACAACUUUCUGUAGGUGAGGCCAGUGAGAUAACUUUCUGCUGACACCCCACAGCAUCCUCGUUCCUUCUGCCGGACUUCCAGAUUUCUAUUUCUGGCCCAAACCUCUCUCCUGAACAUCACUCCAUGGAUUCGUCUACAACCACUUCUAGUAUUUUCUUCCACAGCCAGGGAAGAAGUCCAUAAACAGCUCCCGGCUACAUCAUACUUAGGACGCCCAGAAAAAUGUAUCAGUAUAUCACAUCUCAGGGAAACCUUUUAUUGACUCUGUUUAGGUGAUGUGCUCAACAAUAAUUCACCACAUGGCCCAGGAGCCACCACCCUGGACCACAAACCCCAUAGCAGAUGCAGUCAGUACCUCACUCAUAUACCCUUGGCUCACUCCAAAGGUUACCUGCAGAUAGUUCCUUUAUGACCCGGUGUGUCUGUCUGUCGGAGGGAGUUCUUUAGCCCCUAGAGUCAGCUUGGCUGACAUGCAGGGCAGGCUGGAAAUGCUGUGGAGGUAACAACUCAGGAGCAAGCCACAUCCGGUGAGGAAAAACAAUAGAGGACAGAUAAUCCUGUUCCUUACCCUUCAGUGGGAUAAUUUUGAGGUGUGUUCUCCACAGUUUUGCAGAAGGCUUAGAGAGACUGAGUCACAGUUGUCCUCAGUGGUAACCUGCUCAUUAAUGCAUCCUUUAUUUGGUUUUCCUCCUCUCUCUGACUUCCCUUCCCCCUCACUGUGUUUUCUGGGAUAAACUCCCAAAUAAACUACUUGUACCAAAAUCCUUGCCUUGGGAUCUGCUUUCUGGGAAAUCAAAAUUAAGACAACCCCUGUAAAGGGAGGAGGCCAUCUUCCUGAGUGCCCCAUCAAGACCACAGGGACCAGGGGGAGAUCUUAGACCCCAAAACCACAUUGUGACAAUAUCUUUGCUGACAUCCCACUUUAUUUCCUUCCUUUUUUUUUUUUUUUAAGAGAUAGAAUCUUUUUCUGUGGCCAUGGCUGGAGUGCAGUGGCAUGAUCAUAGCUCACUGCAGCCUUGAACUUCUGGCGUUAAGCAAUCCUGCCUCAGCCUCCCAAGUAGCUGGAA
rnacentral:lncRNA from 10 species